GAUGAACGCUAGCGGCAGGCCUAACACAUGCAAGUCGAGGGGUAACAUAGGAAAGCUUGCUUUUCUGAUGAGACCGGCGCACGGGUGCGUAACGCGUAUACAACCUACCUUUUAGCGGGGAAUAGCCCAGGGAAACUUGGAUUAAUGCCCCAUAGUAUAUAGACUUCUCCUGAAGUUUAUAUUAAACAUUUAUGGCUAUUAGAUGGGUAUGCGUCCUAUUAGUUAGUUGGUAAGGUAACGGCUUACCAGGGCAGCGAUAGGUAGGGGUCCUGAGAGGGAGAUCCCCACACUGGUACUGAGACACGGACCAGACUCCUACGGGAGGCAGCAGUGAGGAAUAUUGGACAAUGGGCGAGAGCCUGAUCCAGCCAUGCCGCGUGCAGGAAGACUGCCCUAUGGGUUGUAAACUGCUUUUACAGAGGAAGAACCACCCCCACGUGUGGGGGUUUGACGGUACUCUGCGAAUAAGGAUCGGCUAACUCCGUG
rnacentral:rRNA from 1 species